UACAGAGGGUGCAAGCGUUAAUCGGAAUUACUGGGCGUAAAGCGUGCGUAGACGGUUAUGUAAGUCGGGUGUGAAAGCCCCGGGCUCAACCUGGGAAUGCCAUUCGAGACUGCAUAGCUAGGGUGCGGAAGAGGGAAGCGGAAUUUCCGGUGUAGCGGUGAAAUGCGUAGAUAUCGGAAGGAACACCAGUGGCGAAAAGCGGCUUCCUGGUCCAGCACCGACGUCAGGCACGAAAGCGUGGGGAGCAAACAGG
rnacentral:rRNA from 1 species